ensembl:snoRNA
UGCUGGUCGUGAAGCACCCCCUCUCGGAAUCCUGGGCCCUGCCGGGGGUGAGCCAGUGCGAGCU